rnacentral:rRNA from 1 species
CCUACGGGAGGCAGCAGUGGGGGAUAUUGCACAAUGGGGGGAACCCUGAUGCAGCGACGCCGCGUGGGUGAAGGAGCGUUUCGGCGCGUAAAGCCCUAUCGGCAGGGAAGAAGAUGACGGUACCUGACCAAGAAGCCCCGGCUAACUACGUGCCAGCAGCCGCGGUAAUACGUAGGGGGGAAGCGUUAUCCGGAUUUACGGGGUGUAAAGGGGGCGCAGUCGGCAAUGCAAGCCAGGAGUGAAAGCUCGGGGCCCAACCCCGGGACUGCUGGUGAAACUGCAGGGCUGGAGUACGGGAGGGGCAGGCGGAAUGCGUGGUGUAGCGGUGAAAUGCGUAGAUAUUAGGAAGAACCCCGGUGGCGAAGGCGGCAUGCUGGACUGCAACUGACGUUGAGGCCCGAAGGCGUGGGGAGCGAACAGGAUUAGAUACCCCAGUAGUC